AUGGCGCGUACCAAGCAGACCGCCCGCAAGUCCACCGGCGGCAAGGCCCCCCGCAAGCAGCUCGCCACCACCAUCGCGGCGAGGAAGUCGGCCCCGACCACCGGCGGCGUGAAGAAGCCCCACCGCUACAGGCCCGGCACGGUGGCGCUCAGGGAGAUCCGCAAGUACCAGAAGAGCACGGACCUGCUCAUCCGCAAGCUGCCGUUUCAGCGCCUUGUGAGGGAGAUCGCCCAGGACUUCAAGACCGAUCUGCGGUUCCAGAGCCACGCCGUGCUGGCGCUCCAGGAGGCCGCUGAGGCGUACCUCGUCGGGCUCUUCGAGGACACCAACCUGUGCGCCAUCCACGCCAAGCGCGUCACCAUCAUGCCCAAGGACAUCCAGCUCGCCCGCCGCAUCCGUGGCGAACGUGCCUAG
rnacentral:rRNA from 1 species